UACAGAGGUCUCAAGCGUUUGUUCGGAUUCAUUGGGCGUAAAGGGUGCGUAGGUGGCGCUGUAAGUCAGGUGUGAAAUUUCGGAGCUUAACUCCGAACUGCAUUUGAUACUGCGGUGCUCGAGGACUGGAGAGGAGACUGGAAUUUACGGUGUAGCAGUGAAAUGCGUAGAGAUCGUAAGGAAGACCAGUGGCGAAGGCGGGUCUC
rnacentral:rRNA from 1 species